AUGUAUUUUACUACGUGAAAAUGCAAACUCGUGCAUAUGCCCAAAGUGGUGAUGAUAUUAAAAGCCGGGAACAGUCGGUCACAAAUAUUAUAAUUAAGGGAGUUAUGUGUCCGGCUUAUAAAGAACUUACUGAAAUGGAUAAGCAAUGCGUGCAUCCUAACAGAGGCGAAGAGAUGGGCCAAAGGCUUGAGUGCAGAGGUCACCUAUGGGGCGGGCAGUGUGCAGAACGGGGUGUCGGCCCGUGACCUUGAGCCUCACCUCCAGGACUUGCUGGUGUUGGCUGAGCAUCGUCCGCACGUGCACCCCGAGCACUCCAGCAGCCGCCAAAAAUCAUGCUUGAGGCCAAAGAUCUACAGGGGACACAGCCAAUGCUUCCAAAUGCAAGAAGGAAGAAAGACCACACGGAGACAGACGAGAGGUUGCUGAGAGCACCGUGCCCAAGCCGUGCCAGAGCCAGAAUACCAGACAGGGUGGCUGUGCCAGCACUCGCUUGUCAUCUCAGUCCUGGAGGCUGGCAGUGUGAGACGGGCUGGAAGGAAGGAGACAUACAGCCAUUCUCAGACGGAGGGAUGACGAGGAAGCCAACCACACUUGUCUCUAAAGAGUGGCCAAAGGAAGUUCCCUAAGAGUAAGAAAUUAUGAUGGAAAAGGUCUCCUGGAACCUUAGGAAGGAGCCAAGAGCAUUGGCCUGGUAAAACCAGGGGUGGCAUUUCCUAACCCGGAGGAGAAAAGCUCGCCAAUUCAGCACGGCAGCUGGUGAAUCAACAAAUGCAGGCAUUUACUGAGACUUCUGUCCCCUCUGGGGAAGCACCCUGCUCCCAAUCCCUGAGCUUCCCGGGCUGAUUCCUCCCAGUGUGGUGGGGGUGGCUCAGGGCUGACCAGUCAUUGUGUCCUGGCCCCUGGCUGCAGAGAUCUGGAGAUCUGGUGGGGAAUCACCAGGGGACAGGAGGGUGGGGAGAGGGUCCCAGAUGCUUGUGGGAGCUGUGGGGGGUGGGGGUAAGAGAAGCUGCCGCUGCUGGGGACCAUCUGUCCUUACCUUAGGAGGGGAGAAGAUGCAAAAGCUGAAGGACAGAGACACUGAUGUGUUGAGCCGCCCCCAUCCCCAAGCACACCUGGCCUUUCAACAAGGUGAACCCCAAGGACAACAAUCUAGAGGCAGCACGAGGAUUCUCACUUGGCAGGUGCAGAAACAGUCCAAAGAAAGAGUUCUUUUGAGUUCUGCUUCUGGGAUCUCACCACUGGACAGGCUUAUUCAAUCAAGCCCCUUCCUGCCCCUGGUACUUUCUCGGUAGUUGACCCCCACGUCUGUGGCAUAGAUCUAAAGCUAGUGCUGCCAGACAAAAUACAGGAUGCCCCCUUAAAUUUGAAUUUUGGAUGAACAAUGAAUAAUUUCUUAGCAUAAGUAGGUCUCAUAUUGCAUGGACAUAUGUAUACUAAAAAGUAUGUUGCUUAUCUGAAAUUCAAAUUUCACUGGGCAGGUCAGGCUUUUGUUUGCUUAAACUUAAUAGCACUGUCUAAGGCGCAAAGGGAGAUGCAGCAAAAAGGGGAAGGCCACCUUCCUAGGAGGAGCAGAGUUAGGUCAGGGGGUUGGACGCAAGAAGCAGUCUUGAAGAAUCAUCCUCCUGUCUCCUGCCAGAGUGCCCACAUCAGCCAUAAAGGUGGUCAUCACAACGUUUUGCCCGUCAGGUCAAGUGAAAACGUGACCUGGAGUGAAAAUGUAUUAACCAUCAACAGUCUAGUGUGAAUUAGUUUACAAAAAUGUGCAUUUAGGGCAGCCCCAGUGGCCCAGUGGUUUAGCGCCGCCUUCAGCCUGGGGUGUGAUCCUGGAGACCCGGGAUCGAGUCCCACAUCGGGCUCCCUGCAUGGAGCCUGCUUCUCCCUCUGCCUGUG